rnacentral:lncRNA from 1 species
AAGAUACAAGAUACUUCAAUGAAUAAAACAAAGACCUUUGCUUUCCUGAAACUUGAGAUCAAAUGGAGGACACACAAAAACAACGCACCUACAAAUCACCAUAUUGUGUGUCAGGAGCUGAGGAUGCUAUGAAAACCCCUUGAGGAAACAAAGGCACCUUGGGGGCCAUUGAGAACUCCUGACGAAGAGGGCUCAGCUGCCAGACCUGCUCAAGAAAGACCUCAGAAAUCUCUAUGGGGCUGUCAGAAGAAAAGCUGGGGGAAGCACAGUGCUGCGUUGUUGGCAGCCCACUGAAAAGGUGGACAACUCAUCGCCAGGAGCUGAAGUCCCCAGCCUAACAACCCAGAGGAACUCAGACUUGCCAACAACCGUGUACAUGAGCUUGAAGACAAACUUGCAACUCCAGUCCAACCUUGAGAUGACCGCAACUUCACGAGAAGCCUUGAGCCAGAACCACCCAACUAAGCCGUCCCCAGAUUCCUCAUACCCAUCACUGUCAGAAAGAGUUUGUUGUAAGCUGCUAAGAAUUAGGAUUCCACAUUGCAGCUAAUCUUCAUUAAACUACCACGUGGUGAAUUUUAAUGUAGUAUCCAAGAAGCAUACUGACACCUUCUCCAUUGUCCUACUAUGUAUCUGUGUAAGGCCAGAUUUUCUUCAUAUACAUUAACCAAAGCAACAUAUGGCAACAGACUGAAUGAAGAGGCAGGUUUCCUGGGACUCUGUUGCAUCAAAUUCUACUGCUAGGCAUCAAUUUUAAAGUAUUUCAUCAGUUGGACCUACCAAAUAUCAAGUCAGGAUUUGGCCAUCUCUGCUCUUGCCAUUCCACCUCUCACGACUCUAUCCUCAAACUCCACUUAAUAGAAACUUGUCAUUUGAAUGAAGACAGAAAGGGCAAGAGUGCAGUGGUAUAAUUUUGAGCCUUUUACAAGCCCACAUCUGAGUUCGAGAUGCCUAUAUGAU